GUGCCAGCAGCCGCGGUAAUACGUAGGUGGCGAGCGUUGUCCGGAAUUACUGGGCGUAAAGGGCGCGUAGGCGGGAUAGCAAGUCUGUUGUGAAAUUGCGGGGCUCAACCCCGUAUUGGCAAUGGAAACUGCUAUUCUUGAGUGCAGGAGAGGAAAGCGGAAUUCCCAGUGUAGCGGUGAAAUGCGUAGAUAUUGGGAGGAACACCAGUGGCGAAGGCGGCUUUCUGGCCUGUGUCUGACGCUGAGGCGCGAAAGCCAGGGGAGCGAACGGGAUUAGAUACCCCGGUAGUCCUGGCCGUAAACGAUGGGUACUAGGUGUAGGAGGUAUCGACCCCUUCUGUGCCGGAGUUAACGCAAUAAGUACCCCGCCUGGGGAGUACGGCCGCAAGGCUGAAACUCAAAUAAAUUGACGG
rnacentral:rRNA from 1 species